GCCUAACACAUGCAAGUCGAACGAGACCUUCGGGUCUAGUGGCGCACGGGUGCGUAACGCGUGGGAAUCUGCCCUUGGGUUCGGGAUAACAGUUGGAAACGACUGCUAAUACCGGAUGAUGACUUCGGUCCAAAGAUUUAUCGCCCAGGGAUGAGCCCGCGUCGGAUUAGCUAGUUGGUGGGGUAAAAGCCUACCAAGGCAACGAUCCGUAGCUGGUCUGAGAGGAUGAUCAGCCACACUGGGACUGAGACACGGCCCAGACUCCUACGGGAGGCAGCAGUGGGGAAUAUUGGACAAUGGGCGAAAGCCUGAUCCAGCAAUGCCGCGUGAGUGAUGAAGGCCUUAGGGUUGUAAAGCUCUUUUACCCGGGAUGAUAAUGACAGUACCGGGAGAAUUAGCCCCGGCUAACUCCGUGCCAGCAGCCGCGGUAAUACGGAGGGGGCUAGCGUUGUUCGGAAUUACUGGGCGUAAAGCGUACGUAGGCGGCUUUGUAAGUUAGAGGUGAAAGCCCGGGGCUCAACCCCGGAAUUGCCUUUAAGACUGCAUCGCUUGAAUCAUGGAGAGGUGAGUGGAAUUCCGAGUGUAGAGGUGAAAUUCGUAGAUAUUCGGAAGAACACCAGUGGCGAAGGCG
rnacentral:rRNA from 1 species